rnacentral:tRNA from 1 species
GCCGAUGUAGCUCAGUUGGUAGAGCAACUCCAUGGUAAGGAGUAGGUCGCCGGUUCAAGUCCGGCCAUCGGCU